AUCUACCUGGGGUGUGCGUAUAAUCUGUAUUUUCAACCGACAUAGAAUAAAAGGGAGCUUGGGUUUCUAUAUGGAUGUUAGACCUUUUUAUAAGGGAAACAGAAGUAUAGAACAAAGCACCCACCUGCGAGAGAAGCGGGUAUGAAAAUCACAGAGAAGGCGGCAUCCUGGGCAGUCA
rnacentral:other from 1 species